UACGAAGGGGCUAGCGUUGCUCGGAAUCACUGGGCGUAAAGCGCACGUAGGCGGGUCGUUAAGUCGGGGGUGAAAUCCUGGAGCUCAACUCCAGAACUGCCUUCGAUACUGGCGAUCUUGGAGUCCGGGAGAGGUGGGUGGAACUGCGGAGUGUAGAGGUGAAAUUCGUAGAUAUUCGCAAGAACACCAGUGGCGAAGGCGGCUCAGCU
rnacentral:rRNA from 1 species